rnacentral:sRNA from 1 species
ACUGGGCAUGGUGGUGCAUGCCUGUAAUUCCAGCAACUUGGGAGGCUGAGGUAGAGGAUCACGAGUUCAGAGCCAGCCUCAGCAAUAGCAAGGUGCUAAGUAACUUAGUGAGACUCUGUCUCUA